GAUGAACGCUAGCUACAGGCUUAACACAUGCAAGUCGAGGGACCGGCGCACGGGUGCGUAACACGUAUCCAUCCUGCCCUUUACUCGGGGAUAGCCUUACGAAAGAAAGAUUAAUACCCGAUAUAAAGGAUGGGAAUGCGUUCCAUUAGGUUGUUGGUGAGGUAACGGCCCACCAAGCCUUCGAUGGAUAGGGGUUCUGAGAGGAAGGUCCCCCACAUUGGAACUGAGACACGGUCCAAACUGCUGCGUGAGGCAGCAGGGAGGAAUAUUGGGCAAUGGGCGUGAGCCUGAACCAGCCAAGUUGCGAGAAGGAUGAAGGCUUAUGGGUCGUAAACUUCUGUUAGAGAAGAAUAUGUAUUAUAUGAAUAAGGAUCGGCUAACUCCGUGCCAGCAGCGCGGUAAUAC
rnacentral:rRNA from 1 species